rnacentral:rRNA from 1 species
CUCACAAGUUUGCCGAUGUUCCUACUAUCUUUCUUUGAGGUUCCAGUUGGGGUCAGGAAAAGGCUGGACUUCUAUCGGUCAAGAUUUUUUUGGCAGAGUGAUGAUCUUAAGAGAAAGUAUAGACUCGCCAAGUGGGAUAUUAUUUGUCGUCCCAAGGAUCAGGGGGGGUUGGGUAUCGAGAAUCUUGAGGUCAAGAAAAGAUGCCUGCUUAGUAAGUGGCUCGAUAAGUUAUCAGUUGGGACUGAUGCGACUUGGGCACAGAUACUUCGUAACAAGUAUCUGCAAUCCAAAACUUUAUCACAGGUGACAAUGAGACCAACUGAUUCGCCAUUUUGGAAGGGGCUUAUGAGAGUUAAGUCAGCCUUCUUUAAUAGAACUAAGUUUAUAGUCGGCGAUGGUAACGAUACUCGCUUCUGGGAGGACACUUGGCUUGGGGAGACACCUUUGGCAUUACAGUACCCAACUCUGUAUCGUAUUGUGCAUCGCCGUGAUGCGCUUGUGGCAACGAUUAUGCAGGCCACCCCCCUUAAUAUUCAGUUUAGGAGGGUGCUUGUUGGUAAUAGAUGGGAAGCUUGG